rnacentral:tRNA from 1 species
AGAGUGCUAGUAUAACGUAAUACGCUAUCGUGUCAAGAUAUUAUUGCAGGUUGAACUCCUGCGCACUCUU